rnacentral:rRNA from 1 species
UACGUAGGGUGCAAGCGUUGUCCGGAAUUAUUGGGCGUAAAGAGCUCGUAGGCGGUUUGUCGCGUCGGCUGUGAAAGCCCGGAGCUCAACUCCGGGUCUGCAGUCGAUACGGGCAGACUUGAGUGUUGCAGGGGAGACGUGGAAUUCCUGGUGUAGCGGUGAAAUGCGCAGAUAUCAGGAGGAACACCGGUGGCGAAGGCGGGUCUCUCGGGCAACAACUGACGCUGAGGAGCGAAAGCGUGGGGAGCGAACAG